rnacentral:rRNA from 1 species
GACGAACGCUGGCGGCGUGCCUAAUACAUGCAAGUCGAACGAGAGCGACCGGUGCUUGCACUGGUCAAUCUAGUGGCGAACGGGUGAGUAACACGUGGGUAACCUGCCCAUCAGAGGGGGAUAACAUUCGGAAACGGAUGCUAAAACCGCAUAGGUCUUCGAACCACAUGGUUUGAAGAGGAAAAGAGGCGUAAGCUUCUGCUGAUGGAUGGACCCGCGGUGCAUUAGCUAGUUGGUGAGGUAACGGCUCACCAAGGCCGUGAUGCAUAGCCGACCUGAGAGGGUGAUCGGCCACAUUGGGACUGAGACACGGCCCAAACUCCUACGGGAGGCAGCAGUAGGGAAUCUUCCGCAAUGGACGCAAGUCUGACGGAGCAACGCCGCGUGAGUGAAGAAGGUUUUCGGAUCGUAAAACUCUGUUGUUAGAGAAGAACAAGUGCUAGAGUAACUGUUAGCGCCUUGACGGUAUCUAACCAGAAAGCCACGGCUAACUACGUGCCAGCAGCCGCGGUAAUACGUAGGUGGCAAGCGUUGUCCGGAUUUAUUGGGCGUAAAGCGAGCGCAGGCGGUUCCUUAAGUCUGAUGUGAAAGCCCCCGGCUCAACCGGGGAGGGUCAUUGGAAACUGGGGAACUUGAGUGCAGAAGAGGAGAGUGGAAUUCCAUGUGUAGCGGUGAAAUGCGUAGAUAUAUGGAGGAACACCAGUGGCGAAGGCGACUCUCUGGUCUGUAACUGACGCUGAGGCUCGAAAGCGUGGGUAGCAAACAGG